rnacentral:rRNA from 1 species
AGCAGCCGCGGUAAUUCCAGCUCCAAUAGCGUAUAUUAAAGUUGUUGCAGUUAAAAAGCUCGUAGUUGAAUUUCGGGGUCAGUAGAUUGGUCGUGCCACUGGUAUGUACUGGUCUCACUGGCUCCUCCUUCCUGAUGAACCGUAAUGCCAUUAAUUUGGUGUUGCGGGGAGACUGGACUGUUACUUUGAAAAAUUAGAGUGUUUAAAGCAGGCUAACGCUUGAAUACAUUAGCAUGGAAUAAUGAAAUAGGACGUUCGAUCUUAUUUUGUUGGUUUCUAAGAUUGACGUAAUGAUUAAUAGGGAUAGUUGGGGGCAUUAGUAUUCAAUUGUCAGAGGUGAAAUUCUUGGAUUUAUUGAAGACUAACUACUGCGAAAGCAUUUGCCAAGGAUGUUUUCAUUAAUCAAGAACGAAAGUUAGGGGAUCG